rnacentral:rRNA from 1 species
AUUGAACGCUGGCGGCAGGCCUAACACAUGCAAGUCGAACGGUAGCACAGAGAGCUUGCUCUCGGGUGACGAGUGGCGGACGGGUGAGUAACGUCUGGGAAACUGCCCGAUGGAGGGGGAUAACUACUGGAAACGGUAGCUAAUACCGCAUAACGUCGCAAGACCAAAGUGGGGGACCUUCGGGCCUCACACCAUCGGAUGUGCCCAGAUGGGAUUAGCUAGUAGGUGGGGUAAUGGCUCACCUAGGCGACGAUCCCUAGCUGGUCUGAGAGGUUGGCCGUCCACACUGGAACUGGGCACCGGUCCAGACUCCUACGGGAGGCAGCAGUGGGGAAUAUUGCACAAUGGGCGCAAGCCUGAUUCCGCCAUGCCGCGUGUAUGAAGAAGGCCUUCGGGUUGUAAAGUACUUUCAGCGGGGAGGAAGGCGGUGAAGUUAAUAACUUCACCGAUUGACGUUACCCGCAGAAGAAGCACCGGCUAACUCCGUGCCAGCCGCCGCGGUAA